rnacentral:rRNA from 1 species
GGGGAAUAUUGGACAAUGGGCGAAAGCCUGAUCCAGCAAUGCCGCGUGAGUGAUGAAGGCCUUAGGGUUGUAAAGCUCUUUUACCAGGGAUGAUAAUGACAGUACUGGGAGACUAAGCCCCGGCUCACUCCGUGCCAGCAGCCGCGGUAAUACGGAGGGGGCUAGCGUUGUUCGGAAUUACUGGGCGUAAAGCGCACGUAGGCGGCUUUGUAAGUUAGAGGUGAAAGCCCGGAGCUCAACUCCGGAACUGCCUUUAAGACUGCAUCGCUAGAACGUCGGAGAGGUAAGUGGAAUCCCGAGUGUAGAGGUGAAAUUCGUAGAUAUUCGGAAGAACACCAGUGGCGAAGGCGACUUACUGGACGACUGUUGACGCUGAGGUGCGAAAGCGUGGGGAGCAAA